AUAAACGCUGGCGGCGUGCAUGAGACAUGCAAGUCGAACGCAGGAUCGGGCUUGCUCGAUCCUUAGUGGCGGCCGGCUGAGUAACGCGUAGGUGACCUACCCCGAAGUGGGGAAUAACUGCCCGAAAGGGUGGCUAAUACCGCAUGUGGUCGCACGUUCAUUCGUGCGAGUAAAGCCGCAAGGCGCUUCGGGAGGGGCCUGCGUCCGAUUAGCUCGUUGGUGGGGUAAUGGCUUACCAAGGCGACGAUCGGUAGGUGGUCUGAGAGGACGAUCACCCAGACUGGGACUGAGACACGGCCCAGACUCCUACGGGAGGCAGCAGUCGGGAAUGUUGCUCAAUGGGGGAAACCCUGAAGCAGCAACGCCGCGUGAGGGAUGAAGGCCUUCGGGUUGUAAACCUCUUUUGUCAGGGACGAUGAUGACGGUACCUGGCGAAUAAGCCACGGCUAACUACGUG
rnacentral:rRNA from 1 species